rnacentral:rRNA from 1 species
GUCGAGAAUCUUUCACAAUGGGGGCAACCCUGAUGGAGCGACGCCGCGUGGAGGAUAAGGUCUUCGGAUUGUAAACUCCUGUCAUGCGUGAACAAGGUUGCUUGGUUAAUACCUGGGCAAAUUGAUGGUAACGCAAGAGGAAGAGACGGCUAACUCUGUGCCAGCAGCCGCGGUAAUACAGAGGUCUCAAGCGUUGUUCGGAAUCACUGGGCGUAAAGGGUGCGUAGGUGGCGUGGUAAGUCAGAUGUGAAAGCCCGGGGCUCAACAUCGGAACUGCAUCCGAUACUGCCAUGCUAGAGUACUGGAGAGGUGACUAGAAUUCUCGGUGUAGCAGUGAAAUGCGUAGAUAUCGAGAGGAAUACCAAAGGCGUAGGCAGGUCACUGGACAGUUACUGACACUGAGGCACGAAGGCCAGGGGAGCGAACGGGAUUAGAAACCCGUGUAGUCC